UACGUAGGGUGCAAGCGUUAAUCGGAAUUACUGGGCGUAAAGCGUGCGCAGGCGGCGCCGCAAGUCAGGCGUGAAAUCCCCGAGCUUAACUUGGGAAUGGCGCUUGAAACUACGGUGCUGGAGUGUGGCAGAGGGAGGUGGAAUUCCACGUGUAGCAGUGAAAUGCGUAGAUAUGUGGAGGAACACCAAUGGCGAAGGCAGCCCCCUGGGUCAACACUGACGCUCAUGCACGAAAGCGUGGGGAGCAAACAGG
rnacentral:rRNA from 1 species